rnacentral:ncRNA from 1 species
AAGUAGAGGUUGCGUGUCAUAUCAGUAUGGUGCAGGAUGUCUCAGGAGACAGAGGAAUGCAUUUGAAAGGCUGACACGCCGAAAGCGGUAUUAUUCCUGACAGUUAUCGCUUGGGCAUAUGGUUAAGAGCCAUAUGACUGUCAUCUAUAACAGAUGGUGAGCUACGGC